CCUACGGGGGGCAGCAGUGGGGAAUAUUGCGCAAUGGGCGAAAGCCUGACGCAGCGACGCCGCGUGUGGGAUGAAGGCCUUCGGGUUGUAAACCACUGUCGGGAGGGACGAAGAUCUGACGGUACCUCCAAAGGAAGCACCGGCUAACUCUGUGCCAGCAGCCGCGGUAAUACGUAGGGUGCGAGCGUUGUCCGGAAUUAUUGGGCGUAAAGGGCGCGUAGGCGGCUCGAUAAGUAGGGGGUGAAAUUCCGCGGCUCAACCGCGGGGCGGCCUUCUAAACUGUCGGGCUUGAGCACGGUAGAGGCAGAUGGAAUUCCCGGUGUAGCGGUGGAAUGCGUAGAUAUCGGGAAGAACACCAGUGGCGAAGGCGAUCUGCUGGGCCGUUGCUGACGCUGAGGCGCGACAGCGUGGGGAGCAAACAGGAUUAGAUACCCCUGUAGUC
rnacentral:rRNA from 1 species